rnacentral:lncRNA from 1 species
UAUUAGCGUGUAUUCAAUUUUUUGGAAAACAAGUAUCCAAAAAAUAUAAAUACUGUGUAUUAAAAAUAUAUUUGUGCUAAAAAUUUUACUACAGUAUUAAGAAUAAUUAGACAUUUGUAAAAAAGAAAGCCGGUUACUGGUAAAGAAACAAAACAAAAGUAAAAAAAAAUGAAGAAAAUCAAGAAAGAAACCAAAAGAAACCAAAAGUAUAACGAAGAAAGAAAUACCAGAUAAAGUCGGCAAAAAAAGUAAUGUAUAAC